rnacentral:misc_RNA from 1 species
UGUAAGAGUGAGCCUGCUCGCGAUUGCGGUGUGUCAGGUAUGAAGCUUCGGCUGACACGACGCUAUCGCGAGCAGGCUCACUCCUACA